GCAGGAAAUCCCAAAUCCCAGAUCAGUUCCAUGUCUGUAACUUCAAGUGCAACAUCUUUAAAACCAAGUGCUCAGUGUGGGCUUUCCACGUGGAUGCAAAUGGUCAAAGGCCUUUCUUGUGUCCCAAAAGCAAAAACCCUUUCUCUGUGAGGUUUUGGAGGGGAUUCUCUUUGGGAUUUUUGUGAUGCAGCAUCCCAGGUGUCCCUGCCUUUGUGCCAAGUCCAGUGGUAAAGGAUGGAAUGGCUGACACGUGGGGUCUGGGAUAAAAAUGGUUCUGUGAAAUUGGGCAGAGAAUGCAGUAUGGAAAAUGAGCUUCCUUUUAAUGUCUGAAAUAGUCAGGAAUAAAAAUGCUGGGAAAGGACACGUUUGUGUUUGAAUUGGUGUCACCUGUCAUGGGUAAAACCCCUAGGGAGCAAUCAGGGCAGAAGUAGGAGUGUGACCGUGGUCACAAGGGCUUUGCAGGUGAAGAGAGGCGAGAAUGUUGAUCCAUGUUCACAAGAAUUGAUUUAUUAUUUUAUGAUAUAUGUGCUACAUUAUAACUACACUAAAAGGAAAUAGAGAGGAAAGUUCUCAGAAGGCUAGCUAAGCUAAGAAUAGAAAAGAAUGAAUAACAGAGGAGCUCUCUGUGACUGUCCCAGAGAGAGCUCAGUCCUUGAUUAGCCAUUAAUUAUACACAUCCUUCAGCCAGUCACAGGUGCACCUGUUGCCUUCCACAGCAGCAGAUAACCAUUGUUUGCAUUCUUUUUCUGGGGCCUCAGCUUCCCAGAAGGGAAAAUCCUAAAGAAAGGAUUUUAAUGAAAAGAUGUCUGUGACGGUAUGAGAGCUGGGAUCCUUUGACUUCCUCAGUGGACUUAAUUUUCUGUUUCUCCUCUCUUUCAGGGCAGGCAAAAUCACCAAACUCCUCCCAUCUUUGCCAAAAGCUUUGGUGUUUGGGCAGCCAAAGGCGAGAGGCCUCAGCACCAGGGUUGUGGGGUCAGCAGGAACAAGGGCAGUGUGGUGCCAGAGCUGGGGCCCAUCAGGCUGGAUUUCCCUCUGGGAAAGCACAACAGUCUCUGGGCUCAGGUGAGUUUCCUGCAAGUGCUUAGAAGAGCAAUCCAGGGAAAAGGGAGUUCAGGAAUUGCACCUGCUGCUGGGAGCAAUGCCUCAGGCUUGUUAGUUUGUGUCUGUGAGAAGUGGGCUUUGGGCUGGAGAGGGGCUCUUGGGAACAAAAGAUGGAGUCAAUCCUCUCCAGGGAUGUGCAGUGAAGGACUGAGUGGGAGGGAAGGGGAGUAUUUAGAAAGGAUAUCAGCAUUUCACCCAAAAUUGGGGUGGAGCACUGAUGGGGGUGGUUGGGUUUGCUCUGGGCCUUGUUAUUCCUUGAGCAAUUUUUCAGUUCUGUUGCAUGAUUUAUUGUCCAGUAUCUUUCUACCCAAAACUGACAGAAAUUUAGGUUCAGGAUUAGAACUUAGCUCCAUUCACUGCAAAAUCUUGCCA
rnacentral:lncRNA from 1 species